rnacentral:misc_RNA from 1 species
AAGUCGUAACAAGGUUUCCGUAGGUGAACCUGCGGAAGGAUCAUUAUCGAAAAUAAAGGGUUGUCUGCUGGCCUCUCGGGGCGCGUGCACGCCCAAAUCCACAACACACCUGUGAACCCACCGUAGGCCUUCGGGCUUAUGUAUCAUAUACUCUGAAUGUGUCAUAGAAUGUUCAUGUUGCCUUAAAACGCAAUCAAAUACAA